UCCCUGGUGGCUCAACUGGUAAAGCAUCUGCCUACUAUGCGGGAGACCCAGGUUCAAUUCCUGUGUCAGGAA
rnacentral:tRNA from 1 species